rnacentral:rRNA from 1 species
UAAGACAGAGGUGGCGAGCGUUGUUCGGAGUUACUGGGCGUAAAGGGUACGUAGGCGGUUGGAUAAGUCCUGUGUGAAAUACCCUCGCUCAACGGGGGAACGGCAUAGGAUACUGUCUGGCUAGAGGGUUGGAGAGGAGAGUGGAAUUCCCGGUGUAGCGGUGAAAUGCGUAGAGAUCGGGAGGAACACCUGUGGCGAAGGCGGCUCUCUGGACAACCCCUGACGCUCAAGUACGAAAGCGUGGGUAGCAAACAGGAUUAGAUACCCUGGUAGUCCACGCCCUAAACGAUGGGCACUCAGUGUGGGAGGUAUCGACCCCUUCCGUGCUACAGCUAACGCAGUAAGUGCCCCGCCUGGGGAGUACGGCCGCAAGGUUA